ensembl:lncRNA
AUGGGUUGGUCUUUAGCCUCCAGUUUAAGCCAUAAGGAUAGCUCAUAUCCCAACCUGUGCAAUGAGCUCUCCUCUAUUCCAAGUGUACCAACUGCAUUCCGAUGUACUGGCAUGUCCUACCUGCAGGGCGUGAUGAGUUCCUUGGGCGUCCUUCUCUGGCAAUCGUGUGAAGUAGGCGAGGACUUCGAAAGACAGUGCGGGAUUGUGUUGCAAGGCACAUCCAAAGAUUUAGGGAAAUUCAAAACAGCGGCGAUGUUGAUCCGUCAACAGCAGCAGGGAGACCUCCGACUACUAUGGCUGGGGCCUUGGUUGUAUUAGCUGUGCAAUCGUAGAAUAUCCAGUCGACAGUGUAUCGCCAGCAACAAUAAAUAAGCAGCUCCAGCUGGAAGAACUUGCCAUGCAUGUAGGAACCCCUCGCAUGAAUCCGGUGCAUUCACAUCCCAGUUUCCGCCAGUAGGAAGUGUGUAAACAAUCCGGUGAAGCAGACAACUUGGCCCCGCAAUGUGUCGUCCGUCUGCGACCACCUCUACUCGACUGACUGGCCCAAGUGUCUAAAAAAAAAAAUCUUUCAAGAUGCUGGAAAUUCCUGCUGCCCCAUUUGUUGUUACCUGUCCGUAUGCGGCGUUCAGGGGCGACUCUCCCGUGACCACGAGAGUCGGUCGAUAAAUUAGUUGAAUCGGACCGUCAUGCAGUUUAGCAAAACAACUGCGGCUAACGCUGCACGCGCGAGACUCCAAAACAAGAAGGGAGUUCGAAUAUCAAAAUCACUUCGGCGUCAAAAAAAAAGGAAAGAAAAGAAAAAUCGUACUCAAAGCUGGUAAGCUUUGGUUUUAGUCGGUUAACAAAACAGACGAGCGCUUUCAGCACGAAGAAGGGGGAAAAAAACUUUGCUGCGUGAGUGAGUGCAAAGUAAGCAAACUCCCGUUCAUAACAAUGCGGUGGCUAACAAUUUAAAAACAUAUAUUUAAAAAAAAAAGUGCAACACCGUUUAAAUUUGUUCGACCUGUCGAUAUGUCUCCGUGUCUCUAAGUUAAAAAAAAAUCCAGGGGAGUCGAUUAGCUCAACGCGGCACCGCUUGACUCCAUGUUUCCAGAUUUCCGUCGUUUCUCGGCAGAAUUCCGUGGAUGGAAACAGACUAGCUUAUGAGAAGAGCUAACGGGACCGAAAGUAACACAGCCUCUCCUCUGUAAACAACGACAGAAACAAGAAGCCGCGGAGGGGCUUAAAACUGUAGGCGAACCCCCAAAGAGUCCCUUUUGCCCGACGAAGGGUGCUGUUCGCACCGGAGCAUAACUUGUGGAAAUGGACCAAAAAUCCUACUUUCAGCUGCUAGCUACGCCCUAGCCCGCUAGCAGUUGGAGUCCAGUAGCGCUUCCACCGACCACUUCACUUCCGCCGGGAGAGAAGAGCUUUUUUGUCUUUCUUUUCUUUUUUUUUUACUUUUAGCACACUGUUGAAAAGGGGAAAAAUAAUAAAGAAAGAAAAACCACCACAUCUUCUUCAUAUGCUCCAACCAACACUAUCGUUUGCUUUUUCUUUUUUUUUACCACUUUGCAAUUGAAACAUUACAUUAUCACAGUAAAAACCUUGAAACACACCAAAGAACAACUAAUAUGUUGCACUUGAACACAUUUGUCCUUUUCAUUUCGUAUUUUAAGUCUUAAUAAUUUACCACCAACCCGGAUGUCUGGAGCCUUUAACCUUAAAAGACAAAUUUCUCACUUUCUCACUAUUUAUUUUUUAGAAAUAAACUUUAUUUUUGUUUUUAGGACUUUAAAUCAUU